rnacentral:rRNA from 1 species
GGUAAGGCUGGGCCAUCAGGCGGGGGAAGAACGAGGGGGCAAACGUUGCUCGGAAUUAAUGGUCGGAAAGGGCGGGGAGGCGGGAGAGAAAGUCGGGGGUGAAAUCCCGAGGCUCAACCUAGGAACUACACUCGAAACUUCUUUUCUUUAGUGCCGGAGAGGAAAGCGGAAUACCUGGUGUAGAGGUGAAAUUCGUAGAUAUCAGGUGGAACACCAGUGGCGAAGGCGGCUUUCUGGACGGUAACUGACGCUGAGACGCGAAAGCGUGGGGAGCAAACAGGAUUAGAUACCCCAGUAGUC